GACGAACGCUGGCGGCGUGCUUAACACAUGCAAGUCGAACGGAAAGGGCCUGCUUUUGUGGGGUGCUAGAGUGGCGAACGGGAGAGUAACAUGUGAGUAACCUGCCCAUGACUUUAGGAUAACUUCAGAAAACUGGUGCUAAUACCGGAUAGGAGAGGCUGCAGGAUGGGGGGGGUUGGAAAGCUUCGGCGGUUGUGACUGGACUCCCGGCUUAUCAGCUUGUGGGUGGGGUACUGGCUAACCAAGGCUUUGACUGGUAGCCGGCCUGAGAGGGUGACCGGCCACAUUGGGCCUGAGAUACGGCCCAGACGGCAACGGUGGGCAGCAGUGGGGAAUCUUGCACAAUGGGCGGAAGCCUGAUGCAGCAACGCCGCGUUCGUGAUGACCGCCUACUUGUUGUAAACCGCUUUCGCCUGUGACGAAGCGUGAUUGACGGUACUGGGUAAAGAAGCACCGGCUAACUACGUG
rnacentral:rRNA from 1 species